ACCAGACUCCUACGGGAGGCAGCAGUGAGGAAUAUUGGUCAAUGGGCGGAAGCCUGGACCAGCCAAGUCGCGUGAGGGAAGAAGGCCCUGCGGGUCGCAGACCUCUUUGGACGGGGAGCAAGGCCGCCGACGUGUCGGCGGAAGGAGAGUACCCGUAGAACAAGCAUCGGCUAACUACGUGCCAGCAGCCGCGGUAAUACGUAGGUGGCAAGCGUUGUCCGGAUUUACUGGGUGUAAAGGGAGCGUAGGCGGCCUGCCAAGUCUGAUGUGAAAUACCGGGGCUCAACCCCGGGGCUGCAUUGGAAACUGGCAGGCUGGAGUGUCGGAGAGGCAGGCGGAAUUCCUAGUGUAGCGGUGAAAUGCGUAGAUAUUAGGAGGAACACCAGUGGCGAAGGCGGCCUGCUGGACGAUGACUGACGCUGAGGCUCGAAAGCGUGGGGAGCAAACAGGAUUAGAUACCCGAGUA
rnacentral:rRNA from 1 species